rnacentral:rRNA from 1 species
AUUGAACGCUGGCGGCAGGCUUAACACAUGCAAGUCGAGCGGAAACGAUGGGAGCUUGCUCCCAGGCGUCGAGCGGCGGACGGGUGAGUAAUACUUAGGAAUCUGCCUAGUAGUGGGGGAUAGCUCGGGGAAACUCGAAUUAAUACCGCAUACGACCUACGGGUGAAAGGGGGCACUUUGUGCUCUCGCUAUUAGAUGAGCCUAAGUCGGAUUAGCUAGUUGGUGGGGUAAAGGCCUACCAAGGCGACGAUCUGUAGCUGGUCUGAGAGGAUGAUCAGCCACACCGGGACUGAGACACGGCCCGG